AUUUUCCUGAUUUAGUAUGGGGGAGCUGUAAGUCUCUCCUGUCUGCAGCCCCCCCCCCGCAGCAUGCCCAUCCCCUUAUGACAUCAGAGGGCUAGCCCUAGUCUACUCACCCAGAACCUAAUCCGAGGAGAGGGAGGGGACAACCACAAGAUUGACAGGUUAGCCAAUAGUGUGAGCCUGUGACAACAGGAUAGGCCUUGAGCUAUGUUAAU